GCAGGGGUGAUCCUAGAUGGUUCUGGGGGCGGGCUUCAAACCCGUGGGUGCAGCAAUGCACAGGAGUUCAAUUCUCCCUCACCUGCG
rnacentral:tRNA from 1 species